GAAAUGCGAUAAGUAAUGUGAAUUGCAGAAUUCAGUGAAUCAUCGAAUCUUUGAACGCACCUUGCGCUCCUUGGUAUUCCUUGGAGCAUGCCUGUUUGAGUAUCAUGAAAUCUUCGAAGUAAAUCUUUUGUUAACUCAAUUGGUUUCUACUUUGGUAUUGGAGGUCUUUGCAGCUUCACACCUGCUCCUCUUUGUUCAUUAGCUGGAUCUCAGUGUUAUGCUUGGUUCCACUCGGCGUGAUAAGUUAUCUAUCGCUGAGGACACUGUAAAAGGUGGCCAAGGUAAAUGCAGAUGAACCGCUUCUAAUAGUCCAUUGACUUGGACAAUACUUUUAUGAUCUGAUCUCAAAUCAGGUAGGACUACCCGCUGAACUUAAGC
rnacentral:misc_RNA from 1 species